rnacentral:misc_RNA from 1 species
GAAACGCGAUAGUUAAUGUGAAUUGCAGAAUUCAGUGAAUCAUCGAAUCUUUGAACGCACAUUGCGCCCAUCGGUAUUCCGUUGGGCAUGUCUGUUUGAGCGUCAUUACAACCCUCGACACCUGUCGGUUCUGAGCCCGGAACGGCGUAACACCCGCCCCGGCUUUAAAGUUGUAAGCUCUGCUGGCCGCUCCGCCUGACCGAAAACAUAGUAAACCUACUUGUUGGAGGGAGCGCGAACGGUACGGCCUGAACAAAACCUACCCAUCUCAAGGUUUGACCUCAGAUCAGAUAAGGAUACCCGCUGAACUUAA